rnacentral:rRNA from 1 species
GUCCACGCAGUAAACGAUGAUUACUAGGAGUUUGCGAUAUAGUGUAAGCUCUACAGCGAAAGCGUUAAGUAAUCCACCUGGGGAGUACGCCGGCAACGGUGAAACUCAAAGGAAUUGACGGGGGCCCGCACAAGCGGAGGAACAUGUGGUUUAAUUCGAUGAUACGCGAGGAACCUUACCCGGGUUUGAACGCAGUCUGACCGCCGAUGAAAGUCGGUUUCUAGCAAUAGCGGAUUGCGAGGUGCUGCAUGGUUGUCGU